rnacentral:lncRNA from 1 species
AGGAUCUGGGUAGGUCUCAAUGAGAAAAAUAGAUGGAGAAAAGCUUACAGGAGGUGAGGGAGUGAGCAGACAGCUCUCUGGGGUAAGCGUGUUCCAGGAGGAGGGGUCAGCUGGAACACGCUCCCUGGGAUGGAGCUGGCCUGGUGGAGUUGAAGGCAGCGAAGAGGCCGUGUGGCUGCGGCAGAGGCGAUGCCCGGUGUGCGUAUGGUUUGCUCACUGUCGCCCCCAGGGACCGUGUGUUGUCCGCUGCCCCACCCUCAUCCCAGAAGAAUGCUUUCGUACGGUGAAUACUCGGCAGAAAUAUCUGUUCAUCACAGAGCACCUCUCAGGCAUUUAAAAGGACAUAAAACCGAGCCUUGCCCUCCAGUAAGAAGAAUGAUGAAAAGUUUUGCUCCGUGACCCUGGCCUCCAAGGGGCUCCCCUGUCCUCAGGUCAUUUCAGCCCAUGUGAGCCCCUCAGCCAUUCUCAGAGGUCAAGGGGACACAUAUUCUGUCUACUUGCAGCUAGAAAACCGGAGUUUGCAGAGUUAAAUGGCUUCCCCUAAUCUUACAGAUGUUGAAUGUUAGAGAUGACGCAAACCAGUUGGUUCUCCUUUGUUUUUAAUUUAAAGAAGACAUUAAAUAAAGAGAAAUUUAAGAUAAAAAUUGUCCAUAA